rnacentral:lncRNA from 1 species
GUGGAGUCAAACAGGUUGUGUCUUUGGAUUUUCAGCACUUUAAUACUUGGAAAUGGAAGUUGAAAUCUCUUGCGAGAUCUCCGAGCGCCAGAAAGAAGCGCAGCAGGGCAAUGAAAGGCCUGGGAACGGCACUAAUAACGAGGAGAAGGAGAAAAUGAAGAAGCAGAAAAAGAAAAAGAAGAGCAGGGUUGGCUCCUUUAUCAGAGCUGCCCUAAGAUGCUUUUGCUUCGCUCCAAGAAACUCUUCGAUCCGACUUUCACCCUCUGAUGACAAUGAGAAUGAGAUCUAUCAGAAUAUGAUGGUGAAGGUGGAAGAAGAGGAGGAGGUGGUGGAGAAGGAGGAGGAGAUGAUGAAAGAAGAGGAUGAGG